CACAGCUCGACAUGGGAUUUGUUAGGGACACAGAUCCAAACCGUAUCAGCAUGUAAAUGAAAAAUUUUUAAUACUUUCCGAACAAUCUGGGUAACAGGAAAUGAAAUGUAUUUGAAUGUCUCUUCUAAGUGCUGAAGGUAUUUUCAAAUCCAAGUUCAACUAUGAGGCUGGCAUCUGGACAUUUGUUUCCCAGAGCUGGUUUUAGAUUCUUGGUUCUGCAACUGAACGGUUAUGAAACUUGGAGAAACAAAGAAAAUAUGCCUUUCAUCGCUCCGGGGCUCGAUUUUUUCCAUGUGAAGCAUGGUAAAAUACUCUUUCUGAAGCCUGUUUUUGCUCUAACACCCCCCGAUUUGAUUAGUGCUUUAGCUCUCUGCCUUUGUUUUCCUAUUUAUAUAAAAGAAUUUUAUUCCUUUGGCCUUCCAGGAUCAAUUAGUCAAUGGAUCCAUUAGUGAAGAACUUUCAACCUUGAAGUGCUAAGUAGUUCUGUUAUUGCUUGUAGAGCAAGCUGAUCUUGGCUGCAUGUGAUGUAAAACUGCUGCGACUUCUAAAAUCGUUGCUGAGUCUUUAAGAGAACAAGAUACUUAUUGAAUCCAAAAGGCCACUCUGUCUCAGCACUCUGGCCUGUGGGGUUGAAGAGAGGCAGGUGUUUGGGAAGGGGAUGUUUGGGAAGGAGGUGUUGGGGAAGGAGUUGUUGGGGAAGGGGGAAGGAGGUGUUGGGAAGGAGGUGUUGGGGAAGGAGGUGUUGGGGAAGGAGGUGUUUGGGAAAGAGGGGUUUGGGAAGGAGGUGUUGGGAAGGCGGUGUUGGGAAGGAGGUGUUGGGAAGGAGGUGUUGGGAAGGAGGUGUCUGGGAAGGAGGUGUUUGGGAAAGAGGUGUUUGGGAAGGAGGUGUUGGGGAAGGAGGUGUUGGGAAGGAGGUGUUUGGGAAGGAGGUGUCUGGGAAGCCUGAUCAGCUAUCACAUCUCCCUUGGGAAUCUUGCCUUCAUGCAGUGAGUAUUUGCAACUGUAUGUCCCUUAACAAAGAAGGAAUUGUGUGGACCACAUCCUCACAGAACACAGCAUGUAUUACAUGAAGGACUGACCCAAUCUGUGUCUGUGGUGUUUGGGACAAUAGCUGAGAUAAUAAGGCCUUCCAAUUCCCCCAGGUUCUCCAAUCAUGCCACAUGACCCUCUUAGCAUCUCUGAUACAAUAACCAGAGAGGGGAUAGUCAUCCCCAUUGUUAAGAUGCAGAUGCAGAAAUUCAGAGGGGGGUGCCGACUGUCUCCUAUCACAUGGCAGCAGCAGGGGGCAGAGCUGGACAGUCCCAGCUCCAUCCUGGUUCUGCUGCCAUGGGUCUGGGGUGCGUUACUCCCUGGCUCCUUUCUGCUGGCUCUUUUUAAUGGCCGGACUCCUCUUGGGAGCUCUGUUCAGUCUAGGCUUAUCCAGCUGAGAAGGUGCAGCACUUUGGCAUUUUGAGGGACACAUACAGGAUGCAGCAUGGAAUGUCUCUGAAUUUGGGAUCCUG
rnacentral:lncRNA from 1 species